rnacentral:lncRNA from 1 species
UCUACUGCUUCUGCAUGAUCCCUUCUACGGCCCCUGCCAUGACCACGGUUUCUACCCUGACUUCCACGUGAAACAGAAUCUGGAAUGGGUGGGUCAUCUGGGUCAGCAGUGAUGUGUGGUGGAGCAGGUGCUGGAUUUGGAGCUGGGAACUGUGUUUGCCGCCUCUCUUCCAUCAUACAGAAUGAAACAGACUGUAGGAGGUCGCAAAUAGAUGUCAUGCUCCCCGUGGUCGGAUUUGUCGCCAUAGCGUGCAUAUGCUCCAGACCAUCCUCCUGCAAUAAAAGCAUUCAAUUAUAUUAUUUCUAAUAUGCAGUUAUUAUUGAAAAUUACUUCAAACAUCAUUAAUUUUUUACCCCUGAUCCCAAGGCCGCUCCUUUAACUGAAAUCCAGCAUCUGGACACCCUACGGUACCACUCUAUAUACUCUGAAUAAAAAUGGAGUGGCCCUGUUGCUG